rnacentral:sRNA from 5 species
UGUAUCUGAAGUCUGACGAGGAUGAGAACCUCCGGGGGCAAGAGGUUCGACUCGAGCGAAGCGAGAGAACGUUGC